CGGAGGAAAAGAAACUAACAAGGAUUCCCNAGUAACUGCGAGUGAAGCGGGAAAAGCUCAAAUUUAAAAUCUGGCGGUCUUUGGCCGUCCGAGUUGUAGUCUGGAGAAGUGCUUUCCGCGCCGGACCGUGUACAAGUCUCUUGGAACAGAGCGUCAUAGAGGGUGAGAAUCCCGUCUUUGACACGGACUACCGGUGCUUUGUGAUGCGCUCUCAAAGAGUCGAGUUGUUUGGGAAUGCAGCUCAAAAUGGGUGGUGAAUUCCAUCUAAAGCUAAAUAUUGGCGAGAGACCGAUAGCGAACAAGUACCGUGAGGGAAAGAUGAAAAGCACUUUGGAAAGAGAGUUAAACAGUACGUGAAAUUGCUGAAAGGGAAACGCUUGAAGUCAGUCGCGUCUUCUGGAACUCAGCCUUGCUUCCGCUUGGUGUAUUUUCCUGUGGACGGGCCAGCAUCGAUUUUGACCGUCGGAAAAGGGUUGGAGGAAUGUGGCACCUUCGGGUGUGUUAUAGCCUCCGGUCGCAUACGUCGGUUGGGAUCGAGGAUCGCAGCGCGCCUUUAUGGUCGGGGUUCGCCCACGUCCCGCGCUUAGGAUGCUGGCGUAAUGGCUUUAAGCGACCCGUCUUGAAACACGGACCAAGGAGUCUAACAUGCCCGCGAGUGUUUGGGUGGAAAACCCGAGCGCGUAAUGAAAGUGAAAGUUGAGACCUCUGUCGUGGAGGGCAUCGACGCCCGGCGCUGACGUUUACUGAAGCUGCCGCGGUUGAGCGUGUAUGUUGGGACCCGAAAGAUGGUGAACUAUGCCUGAAUAGGGUGAAGCCAGAGGAAACUCUGGUGGAGGCUCGUAGCGAUUCUGACGUGCAAAUCGAUCGUCAAAUUUGGGUAUAGGGGCGAAAG
rnacentral:rRNA from 1 species